rnacentral:rRNA from 1 species
UACGGAGGGGACUAGCGUUGUUCGGAAUUACUGGGCGUAAAGCGCACGUAGGCGGAUUUGUAAGUCAGGGGUGAAAUCCCGGGGCUCAACCUCGGAACUGCCUUUGAUACUGCAAAUCUCGAGUCCGGAAGAGGUGAGUGGAAUUCCUAGUGUAGAGGUGAAAUUCGUAGAUAUUGGGAAGAACACCGGUGGCGAAGGCGGCUAUCUGGACCGACAUUGACGCUGAGGCGCGAAAGCGUGGGGAGCAAACAGG